rnacentral:rRNA from 1 species
UACAGAGGUCUCAAGCGUUGUUCGGAUUCAUUGGGCGUAAAGGGUGCGUAGGCGGCGCGGUAAGUCGGGUGUGAAAUCUUGGAGCUUAACUCCGAAACUGCAUUCGAUACUGCCGUGCUUGAGGACUGGAGAGGAGACUGGAAUUUACGGUGUAGCGGUGAAAUGCGUAGAUAUCGUAAGGAAGACCAGUGGCGAAAGCGGCUCACUGGGUCUUUUCUGACGCUGAGGCACGAAAGCUAGGGGAGCGAACGGG